rnacentral:rRNA from 1 species
AUGGAAUCUCUCUCCGUCCCGAGUGUGCAGGCCAUGGUGGCGGCGACCGGCGGAGUCGAUGUGCCGCCGAGGUAUCUCCGGCCAGAGGCGGUAGUGGAAGCGGUCGCUGGUGCCGGCGACGACGACGGGGAGGCUCAGAUCCCCAUCAUCGACCACCGGAGGCUGCUGCUGGAGCUGGACCGCCGCGGCGAGGAGUCCUCACGCCUCCACAGAGCCUGCCAGGACUGGGGCUUCUUCCAGUUGAUUAACCACAAUGUCCCGGACGACGUGGUGGAGGGAAUGAAGGCCAGCCUCCAAGAAUUCUUCCAGCUGCCCGCAGAGACCAAGAGACGAUUCGCGCAGCAGCAAGGGCGGCUGGAAGGCUACGGUCAGCUGUUCGUCGUCUCGGAGGAUCAGAAGCUCGACUGGGCCGACAUGCUCUUCCUCUACGCACAGCCACCCGAGAUCAGGAAGACCAAGCUCUGGCCUGACCAGCCCGCUACCUUCAGAGCGGCGCUGGAUAGAUAUUCCUGCGCUGUGAAGGAGGUAGCGGAUUCCCUCUUGGCGACGAUGUCGGAGAACUUGGGACUGAAGCGAGAGGUGAUUGCGGACAGGUGCAUCGGAGGGCUGCAGUCUAUCAGAAUGAACCUCUAUCCGCCGUGCGCUCAGGCAGACAAAGUCGUCGGCCUCUCCCCGCACUCGGACGCCGAUCUCCUGACCCUCGUCCUCCAAGUGAACCAUGUCCAAGGCCUGCAGAUCAAGAGGAACGGCAGCUGGUUUGCAGUCAAGCCUGUCGAGGGCGCUUUCGUCGUCAACGUUGGUGAUAUCUUCGAGAUCCUGACGAACGGGAGGUACCGGAGCAUCGAGCACCGCGUGGUGGUCGACCCCAAGGAGGAGCGGCUGUCGGUGGCGGCGUUCCACUCUCCAAACACGCGCGCCACGAUCGGCCCUCUGAAGGAGCUUGUGGCGCGUGCCGACGGGGAGGACGUGGCCUAUGCGACGGUGGAGCAUGAGAGGCUGAGGGAGCUCUUCUUCGCGACGAAGCUGGAGGGGAAGAGCUUCUUGGAGCGGAUGAAGCUCCCAAGUACUACUAGCUGA